GGGACGCUGGUCCCGCGGAGGGGAGGUGCCGCCCGCUAGGGAGGCGGGGCUCCCGGAGGGCACCGCUGGGGACCUGCCUCCGGGGGCCACCCCGGGUGCCUCCCACCGGCUCGUCGUCCUCCGCGUCGUCUUCCCGCUUUCCUGUUUGCCCCGUUUUCAUCCACCUUCAGAUAUGUGGCCUUGGACCAGGUCCUUGAUUGUAGCCUCAGUCUCCCAUCUGUAAAAUGGGAUAACAGCCGUUCAUUUGUUCCAACCUUUACUGGGCUUCUCUGGGCCAAGCGCAGACUUAGGUUCUGGGGAUACAGGACAAGCAGUCCCGUGCUUCUGGGACGGGAUGAAAACGAGGCGAGGAGCUAGUGUGUUGUAAAUGGAAAAUGCUGUGUGGAUGUUAGUUAAGAGCAAGUCGCCAUGAGGGUCUGCGUUCAUUGCCCUUCUUCCUUCUUCUUUCGGAACUAUUGAGAUUUAUUUGCAAAUUCUAGAACCCGCAGUCCCUGCAGGAAUAUAUUCAGGACCAACGCGGCGCCGAGAGCCUGGAGAAGAUACCCACCUAAAAAAUAACAGCCUGAGUCUGGAUCACAGAAUCUGGCUCCCACCAUCGCUAAUGAAGGGAACAAAAGAGUCGCAUAAAUCAGCAAAAGAAAGAAAGAACUAAAAACUUAAGCACAGCUUUGUGCUACAAAUGUCAAAAACGGUACUCAGUGAACUAGAAGCCCGCUGCCGAUCACGGGCAUCUGAAUCUCAUUCCCAUUCCGCACAAAUCCCUACCAGGGAAGGAAACCAAGUAGACAAAAUACCACGAAUUUUUGGUGACUCCACCGAGCGGGAGGGUGAGCACAGAAGCAAACCACCAGGGAAACGCAGGGGAGACAAAACUAUUGUGAAUAGAAAGCGGCCCCUGCUGCCCCAGGACCCGACCAGAGCUGGGAAAAAGCACUAGGGCUUGCCACUUUCUAGGCCUUUGCACCGAGUUGAGGCAGAGAUUCAAAGUCCAAGGACUUUUUUGUCACAGGGACUGGGUAGGCUUCUAACAAGGGUGGGGGCAGGAGUUUAGCAGAAUCGCACUCUUGCACACAGCCAGGGGGCCAGCCCUAGUCCUCACUGUAUAUACAUACAGGUCAUGGAAACAUGGGUAAAAAUGCAAUCUUCCAGCUCUCAAACUCGUUCAGGUACAGUGAGAAAGCAGCCGAGGAAAAUCUGUUCACAUAUUUGAACAAAUAGAAGGUUUUACAAAGAGCAAUCCAUUUUAACAUGAACAAGACGGAAGCAGUAAGUCCACUACCCAAGCUGAAGGCUUUCGUAACAGGGGAAGCAAUAAAAAAAGAAUUACAGUGUGGGCGAGACAGAUGAAGAACCUAGCCCGGAAGAAAAUGUAAGCAAAGAGAAGAAAAUUCAUCACAUGUGUCCCAGGUUCUAGAACAAAUUAAUAUGACCAUUAGCUGAAGAGAAUAAGGGCUGAAAGAAAUGAUGCAAUGGCACAAUGAGAAGAGAAGGAUUCUACAGCUAAGGCAACGAAAUGAAAAUCAGAAACACCCACCAGAGAAACCAAAUUAGAAAGACCAAGAAAUAGACUGGGCGGCGUGUCCGUCCUCUGGAGUAACACUCAGCCACACGAAGGCAUGAGUGGCCAACACCUGCAGCCACGUGGAGGAACCCUGAAGACCUCAGGCGAAGGGAGACAGGCCGGGUACCAAAGGACAGAUCCUGCGUGGCGUCCCUUCGCAUGACAUCCCUAUUGUGGCAAAUUUACAGAGACAGAGUCAAUGCAGAAGAGGACGCAGCUCUCCAGCCUACUGCUCGAGGAGUUUUCCCAGUCCGCAAACACUCAUAAGUACAUCGACCGAGACACAGACGAGCAGGAUCCCCCAAGUACUCUGUGCCCUUCCUAAUCGCAUCCUGUGUCGUUUCCCCACAGGCAAGCAUUACCCGACUGACGCCAAUGAGUACUUCUCCCUUAUAAAGGAAGACUUUGUGAAGUUCUCCUGAGGAAGAGAGAGAGAGAGGAGAGGGAGAGGGAGAGGGAGAGCGAGAGCGAGAUCUCCAGUUUUCCGAGUGGCAGUUUUUGUUGUUCCACACGCUUACCAACACUUGGAAUUUCCUGUCUCUUUUCUUUGAAAUCGUGGUGUCGUCAUCUCCUUGUGUUUGUGAUUGGCAUUUCUCGGCUGGGUCUCGGUGCUGAGAACCUUUUCACGUGCCCGUCUGGCCCUUUGGAUAUCCUCUGUUGUGUUUUCGUGAAGCACCCGUGGAAAUCACUGAGCAAACUUUCACUAGAAUUCCUGUCUUUUCCUUACCCACUUUUAGAAGAUAUUUGCACAUUCUGACAUCAGCCCACGUUUAAUAUAUUUAUUGAGAAUAGCUCCUGUCACCACACGGUUUGCUUUUUCUCUCUCUUCAUGAUGUCUUCUGGUGAAUAGCAUCUCCUAAUUUUAAUAAAGCCUAACAUAUCCAUCUGUUUCUCUAUGAUUAGUGAUUUUUUUGUGUUCUGUUUAAGAACUUGUUUUUGCCUACUUCAAGGUGAUGAAAUAUUCCUCUGUGUUUCUGCGUUGUCUUCCCGAAGCUGUACUGUCUUACUUUUCACAUUUAGAUCUAUAAUUUAUGUAGAAUUAGUGUUUUGGGGCGCCUGGGUAGCUCAGUCGGUUGAUUAAGUGUCCGAGUGCAGCUCAGGUCAUGAUCUCACGGUUCGUGGGUUUGAGCCCCGUGUCAGGAUCUGUGCCCGGAACCUGGAGCCCGCUUCGGAUUCUGUGUCUCCCUCUCUCUGCCCCUCCCACACUCAUGCUCUAUCUCUGUCUCUGUCUCAAAAAUGAUAUGAUAUAUCAUUAAAAAAUUUAAAAAAAGAAUUAGUUUUUCCAUGAAGUGUGAAAUAGAGAUUAAAUCUUGUUUUUUGUUUUUUUUUUCCCUGUAGGAACUUCCAAAUCUACCAGCCCUGUUCACAAGAAGACCACCUUUCCCCCUGCUCUUCUGUGGUACCUUUCUCAUGAAUCCAGUGUCUGGAUAAGCAUGGGUGUCUUUCUGAAAGGGUGUUGAACUUUGCUGAUGUUUUUGGAGUCUUUGAUAGGAUCGUAUGAUUUUCCCCUUUAUUCUUUUAAUGUAGGGAAGUACAUUGUUUGAUUUUUGAAUGCGUAGCUGGGAGAAACCCCACCUGAUGGGUUGUCCUUAUCAUGCACCUGCUACACUUUAUAUAUAAGAUAUUGUUGAGGAGGUUUGCACCUGCAUUCAUGAAGGAUAGGAGUCUGUGAUUUUCUUUGACAGCCGUGUGAGAUUUUGCUCUCAUGGUAAUGUUAGCUUCAUAAAAUAAGUUGGGGAAUGUUUCCAUUUUUCCUGUAUUUUUUAAAAAGUUUGCAUAGGGUGGUGGUUAUUUCUUUCUGAAAGGUUUGCUGGACAUGAUCUGGACCCGAGGUUGUCUUUGUGAGAAGGUUUUUAAAAUUAAGAACUCAAUGUCUCUAAUAGAUAUAGUACUAUCUGGGUUUUCCAUUUCUUCUUAGUUUUGGAAGCUGUGUGGUUCAGGCUACCUGAUCAUUUUAUGUAACUUGUGGAACUUAUGAUAGUAAGUUGGUUGUGAUAUUCCUUUACCAUCCUUUUAAUACCUGUGUGAUUGGUGAUGAUAUUUCUUUUGCCAUUCAUAAUAUUUUCAGUUUAUGUUUUCUCUUUUUCCCUGAUGAGUCUUGCUAGGGGUUAUCAUUUUUAUUAAUACAGCCAAAGAAGCAAACUUUGGUUUUAAUAAUUAUCUAUAUACUAAAUAUAAUAUAAUAUAAUAUAAUAUAAUAUAAUAUAAUAUAAUAUAAUAUAUAUAUCUUUAUUAUUUGUUUUCUAUAUUAGCUUUAUAUUGCUGCAUAACAGAUUAUCCUGACCUAGUGGCUUAGAACAGUAUACAUUUAUUGUCUCAGCAUCUGUGUGGAUAUAAAAUCUGCUCACAGCACAGUGGUGCCUCUAGCCAUAGGCUCCUCACAGGCUAUACUCACGGGGGAAGCUGUGAUGUGGUCUCAUCUGAAGGCUCAGCCGUGGGGGAGUUGGCGUCCAGCUUACUUAGGACUUUGUUGGCAGGACCAAAUGCAGGACCAAAUUUGUCCUGAGCUGUUGGACUGGAGAAUUCCAUUCUGGGUUGGCUGUCAUCUGGAGGUCUCCCUCUGCUCCUUCCCGUAGGGGCCUCUCUGUAGGGCGGCUCACAGAACAGAAGUCGGCUCCACCAGAGGGAGCAAGAGAGAGAGGGUAGGCAGGACGGCAGCCAAAGUCUUUCUUCGACCUAAUCUUGCAAAUGAUUGCAUCACUUUUGCUUCUGUCUUCUCUUGGUUGCUGUACCACGCAUUGUUUGAAAAUGCCUGCAAAAUGUUAACACACAACUUUUGCCCGACUGCGUAGUUGUUCACGGCAGGAGGGCUGGCACAGUACCAGUUAAUUCAUCAGGGCUGGACAGAACUAGGGUGAUUUUUAUCUUAAUAAAUAAUUGCCUGUCGCCCGGCUCUCUCUGCUGAA